GUAAGCGCAGCGAUGCGUUGAGCUAACCGGUAUUAAUGAACCGUGAGGCUUAACCUUACAACGCCGAAGGUGUUU
rnacentral:rRNA from 1 species